rnacentral:rRNA from 1 species
GACAGAGGGUGCAAACGUUGUUCGGAAUUACUGGGCGUAAAGCGAGUGUAGGCGGCUUGGUAAGUCGGAUGUGAAAGCCCCGGGCUCAACCCGGGAAGUGCACUCGAUACUGCCAAGCUAGAGUAUCGGAGAGGUUGGUGGAAUUCUCGGUGUAGAGGUGAAAUUCGUAGAUAUCGAGAGGAACACCGGUGGCGAAGGCGGCCAACUGGACGAAUACUGACGCUGAGACUCGAAAGCGUGGGGAGCAAACAGG